GAUAUGUGUACACCGGCCCAACUGAAAAACUUAACCUAAAACCAAAACCUUCUACUCUGAACUCAUUAUAUAUUUGUGCUUAAUUAGGUUCAUUUUCACAAUACAUGUUGUGGCGCUCACACUCGUUCUCUCUCUGUCACAUUUGUUUAUAUGCUCACUUCGAUUGAAUUGAUUUUGAUAUGUAAGGGGUAUGCACCGUUUGUGAUUUCAUUUUAAUCGGAUCAAUUCUUUAUAUAUGUCCAAUCUAAGGGCAUUCAUUUUAUACUAAGAUCGAUUAUAUAUUUGUUGUUGUUAGCUUCUUUUCUAUUGUUUGAUUUUUUUGUUGUUUCUUCUCUAUCAGAUCUACAACGAGGCGACAAGAACUUGAUUCUUAUGAUUUCAAGAUUGAUCGAAUGGUAAUCAUUGAUGUUGUUUUGCACUCCGACGACUUUAACUUUUAUUAUUUGAUUUAUUGUUCGUUUCUUAAAUGUUUAAAAUGAAUCUCCCACGAUUAUGAUUUAUCUGAAUAAAUAUGGGAAAAUGGUAUGCACGAAACAAAAC
rnacentral:lncRNA from 1 species